rnacentral:rRNA from 1 species
CACGUAGGGUGCGAGCGUUGUCCGGAAUUAUUGGGCGUAAAGAGCUCGUAGGCGGUGUGUCGCGUCGGCCGUGAAAACCUGCAGCUCAACUGCAGGCUUGCGGUCGAUACGGGCAGGCUGGAGUUCGGUAGGGGAGACUGGAAUUCCUGGUGUAGCGGUGAAAUGCGCAGAUAUCAGGAGGAACACCGGUGGCGAAGGCGGGUCUCUGGGCCGUAACUGACGCUGAGGAGCGAAAGCGUGGGGAGCGAACAGG